AUCUGUGCGCUCUCCGGGACAAGUCGCUGGAUGUGACGGUGGUUUUGUUUGUCUGCCGGACCAAUUGCCCACUUUCCGUUCCUAGGAUCCCAUCCGAAAGGACCACCACCGAGAUUCCCGUGCCCGUGUUUUCAUUCGGCCAGCCAAUGGACACAAACACUUUCCCCACCAACCGCCCGAAGAUUUGGCGAUUCGAAUGGGAAUUUGCCGAUCAUCCAUUGCUUGCCGUAAUGUAUUGCAGGAAAUAUUAAACCGGAUUCUAGUUGGUCAAGUCGUCUCGUUAUAUCAAAAUAGUUGAACGUUAUAAAUUUAUGUAUAUCGUCAAAGAUAUUGAUUGACCUACGUAAUAUCUUCGGUAGUUAGUGAAUUAGCCAUCGCAAAUUGAUUGCGUAAAUUCCACAAACCAGCUUACUAGGUACCUAGUUUGCAAGGGCG
rnacentral:sRNA from 2 species